GCAUUUGAAAAUGCUCUCCAGCUCUUGCCCUGUCAAGAAUGGAUUAGAGGGAAACAAUACUGGGUGCAAGGAGAAUGUCAAGAAAACAGCAAAGUUCGUCUUAUUGAGGCAUCCAGUAAAGCUCCACAGAGAAAUCAUUCCCUCGUGUCUCUUCUGCACUCGGCCUUGGCAGGAUAAGAUGAAGAGGACGCAGUCCCUACCUCAGGCCUCCUCUCUUAGACCCUGGCCCAGCCUCCUCCACCAGGCUGUCCUCCAUCCUUCUCCUCAGGCCCCACCAGCUGCUGCUUGCUACAGCAUUCUCUUCAGGGAAGUCCUGAGGAUGCUGCCAGAAGAUACUGAACACCAAGGAGGGGACUCACUCACUGCCAACCACGACUUCCACAGAAAGCUUGGGAAUUGGGGAAUGGCAUGAUCAAAGCCUUGCUUUAUUAUGCAGAGCAAAUUUUUUUUUUUUGAGGGAGCAUUUGUGUGGAGAAUAGUGAGGAAGGGAACUAAGUGAUGAGAGCCUAAGUCAGAGCAAUGGCAGAAGAAAUUGAACAUAAUAGAACGGUUUAUGUUUGGUACCACACUUUGAAGGGUAAUGUAUGUUAUUUGUUCUUUAUCAUAGUCAACAACAAAUCUAGAUUUGCUUUAUGCACAGGAAGUAUUUAAUAUUAGUUAGGUUUAAUUUGAUUCAAUGCAUUUUAAGUUAACCAAUGAGCCCUAUUGAACUCAUAAGGAAACUAAAGCCGAGUAAGGUUAACUGACUUGCCCACAGUUAAAGGGUUGGAAAGUUUUGGAGCCAAGGGUGAAACCCAGGUCUCCUUAAUUCAAAAUCCAAGGCUUCAAUCAUGACACCAGUUGCCACAAAUCUGUGGCAUAUAUGGUGAUUCUAUUUCUUUGCCACCACAGACAUUGCUAAUCGAUUUCCUACGCAAGCUUGGAUAUGGCCUCAGAAUCCUUCCAAACACAGGGCUCCAGAGACCCACCUCAAAUCAACUUUUCUGUAUCCUGGCAGGAUAGCAUGCUCUCUCUCCAAGAUAAAGGAAGGAAAAUGGUAGAGGUGAUUUGCGGGCAGAAGCAUUAUCACUUGGCAGCUGUGGGCGUAGAUUGUGAGAAAGAGAAAAGGGUAGGCAUCAGGAAUGAUGAAGGAUGUAAGCCUGGGGGAUGAGGGGGAUGGUGACACUAAUUAACAGAAUAAUGGAACUGGAACAGAAGCAGAGCUGUAACAUGGUGAAUGUGGUCUUGAGGUGUUGUCCAGUUCUUAAGGCGGUGGGGGGUGCUGUGACAAUGACAGGUGAAGGCUGCUGCUUAUGGAAAGACACAGGCAGGGCCUCCUAACACUUCUAGCAAUUUCAGCCCCCGAAACAGUGACAACUGUGGAUCCUAAAGGCAUAUGUCCAAAAGAUGCUGGCCAAACAUUUCAGAAAAGAUGAAAUAAGGAGGUCUCAAAGUCCUGCUUUUCAAGACACUGCUAGGAAUCUUUUUGCAAAGCAAGAAAAUUCUUUUAUCAUUCAAACAAUUAAAUAAUAAUUAAAAUAAUUAAAUAUAAAUAAUUAAAAUUAAAAUUUUCAUACACCAGGUUUCAUUUCAGUGGGAAGAAUGGGGCAGGGAAAGAAAAUGGCUCUUCAGCAGCCUUCUCAGUGACAAUUAUAAACAAUUUCUGUAAAACUUCACACCCUAAAUGAAGCACCAAACCUGAAGUGCUUAAUCAAAACAAGAUGUUUUGAUUGAAAGAAAGCUUUGAUGAGUUGCUUCUAUCAAUUGCCCUUCAGCAUAAGAUUAGAAAUGCAAAGGCUUCUAUCAUCCCCAUGAUGUUCUUUAAACUUCAUUAUGUCAGGCACACAUGGCAAAUUAAACAGAAUGCUACAGAAAGUGUCUGGCCAUAAGAGGAGGCAGAGGCACUGCUUACAGAAACCUUGCUAGACAACUAAUUGAACAGUUUUCUAACCUCAGAACAGACGUGCUUUCUAUUAUUUAGCAU